rnacentral:lncRNA from 1 species
CAAAGACAAGCCUCUGUGGUGGAUUGAGACUGUCUUCAUUCUGAAUUGUUAUCUCCACCUCUGUGGAGGUGCCUUUCUCUCUCCUUAGUUGCUAAGUAUGCUUACAUUUCCAAACAAAGUGCUCUGUUAGGUACAUAAACAUAGCUGACCCCGAAGUUUUUGAUGAUGGCUAUUGGAGACAACAACUCCAUCUACCUCUUCACUUUGUCCUCACUGAGCUUGAUGUGACCAUCCAUGCAACUGACUCAGGACCAUCCUGAUGCCAAACUUGCUUCAACCUGGCACUCUGGUGUUACCAUGUCAUCAGCACUGGCAUUUAUUGAAGAAGCACAUGGCAGUCAAAAGUUACAUUCCUCUGUCUGUGUGGGCUUGCAUAAAGUAAAAAAGGCAUUGCCAAUAUUCAUUUAA